GACGAACGCUGGCGGCGUGCCUAAUACAUGCAAGUUGAGCGCUGAAGGUUGGUACUUGUACCAACUGGAUGAGCAGCGAACGGGUGAGUAACGCGUGGGGAAUCUGCCUUUGAGCGGGGGACAACAUUUGGAAACGAAUGCUAAUACCGCAUAAAAACUUUAAACACAAGUUUUAAGUUUGAAAGAUGCAAUUGCAUCACUCAAAGAUGAUCCCGCGUUGUAUUAGCUAGUUGGUGAGGUAAAGGCUCACCAAGGCGAUGAUACAUAGCCGACCUGAGAGGGUGAUCGGCCACAUUGGGACUGGGACACGGCCCAAACUACUACGGGAGGCAGCAGUAGGGAAUCUUCGGCAAUGGACGAAAGUCUGACCGAGCAACGCCGCGUGAGUGAAGAAGGGUUUCGGAUCGUAAAACUCUGUUGGUAGAGAAGAACGUUGGUGAGAGUGGAAAGCUCAUCAAGUGACGGUAACUACCCAGAAAGGGACGGCUAACUACGUG
rnacentral:rRNA from 1 species